GACAAAAAAAACACCCCUCAAAUUUUGGUAGACCAAUACCGCGUUGGAUUAACGCUCAAAAAAGAAAAAGAAAAAAAGAAAAAAGAAACCAAAAAACAAAAAUCCAGAAGGCGCCUUGUUCUUCUCCAUAUAUUAAACACUUACACGAAUCUGCUUUGCCAUUGCCAUUGCCUUUGUUGUUUUUUGUUGUUGUAUUUGGACAUUAAUCAAAUGAGGAAGGGCGGUAAGAGAAAAUCCACCUCUCAGAAACAAGAGACCGAAGUAAAAGCUUCGUCUUCUUCGCAAGAGAAUCAGAAGGAGAACCAUAAACUUGCUUCCCAAGCUAAGCGUGCUAAGACCUCCAAGCCUCAACCCCAGCUUGAGUACUUUGAAGAUAAGCGUAACUUGGAGGAUUUAUGGAAAGCUGCAUUUCCUGUUGGAACAGAGUGGGAUCAAUUGGACAGUGUUUACCAAUUCAACUGGAACUUUUCAAAUCUAGAAGAGGCAUUUGAAGAGGGGGGGAGGCUAUAUGGGAAGAAAGUUUAUCUCUUCGGUUGCACAGAGCCUCAAUUGGUUCCUUACAAGGGAGAAAACAAAGUCAUUUGUAUACCUGUGGUUGUGGCUGUUGUCUCUCCUUUCCCACCUUCAGAUAAGAUCGGUAUUAACUCUGUGCAGAGAGAAGCUGAAGAGAUUGUUCCAAUGAAACAAAUGAAAAUGGACUGGGUUCCAUAUAUUCCACUUGAGAAUAGAGACAGCCAAGUUGAUAGGCUGCAAUCUCAAAUGUUCAUCUUAAGUUGCACUCAAAGAAGUUCCUUCUGCAGGGUUGCUUUAAAACAAAUGAAAAUAGACCGUCUCAAGAAAUAUGAGUAUUGUCUGCCUUAUUUUUAUCAGCCUUUGAAGGAAGAUGAGCUUGAACAAAGCACCGAGGUUCAAAUAAUUUUUCCAGCGGCACAAAAGCCAGUUUUUUGUGAAUUUGAUUGGGAGCUGGAUGAACUUGAUGAGUUUACUGAUCAACUGAUUGAGGCAGACGAAUUAGAUAAAGAUAAAAAAGAUGCCUUUAAGGAGUUUGUCAAAGAGAGAGUCAGAGAAGCAAAGAAAGCUAAUCGGCAGGCAAGAGAAGCUCGCAAAAAGGCCCUUGAAGAAAUGAGUGAGGAAACCAAAGCCGCAUUUGAGAACAUGAGAUUUUACAAAUUCUACCCUAUUCCAACUCCAGAUACUCCUGAUGUAUCAAAUGUGAAGGCUCCUUUCAUAAACAGGUAUUAUGGGAAGGCUCAUGAGGUUCUCUAACGGAGUUUCCAUUUAGGAUGUAAUGUAAGUUGUUGAGAGAUGUUCUAAAGCCCGUGCUGGCUUGCAAGAGUGUCAUAUCAGGCAUGUAUCUGUGACUCAGUAUCUUUGGAAGCUUUCAUCUGGUGUCCCAUCAAAGUCAGGUAUCUUAGGAGAAAGCUUUAAACCCCAAAGCUAUUUAGAUAAUUUAAUCAGAUGAUUGUCUCUUGACAAUAGGAGGAAUUUGUAGAAUACUCUGAUGAGGUUUUUCCGAAAAGUUUUGAAUGACUUCUUAUGGUCAGGAGCUAAAAGUUCUUCCCUUGAGUAACUAGCUGGGGCUUUACAUCCUUCUGAUUCGAAUAGAACAGUGAUCUUCGGACCCCAAAUGGAGAAGCAGCAUGCUGUUCAUCCUGUGUGAUAUGAUAUAACAGGUUCAUGAAGUAUGAAUAACACAGGACAUUACAUUUGAGAGGAAAUGCAACAAGGAUAGAAUCUCCGGUGGGGAAAAAUCAAUAGUAUCAUAACAGUGCGUAUGAAAAGUGAGCAAAUAAGCCACUGCAAGAAUCAUUGAGACACCAAACAUCAUUUGGCAUUUCGACAGUGUGGGCCCUAAAUUGAAAGAUGGCACUGGCCACCGGCCAUUGGAUCCGCGGGGGUUCACUAUAUUGAAAUCAAAAGGCAAAGCAUCAUUUAGUGUUUCUGAAACGUUUGAGGUUAUCUUAGGGGAAAUAUCGCAAAGAAAAAAAAAAGCAAUUUACUAUGAUGUAUUUGAGUGUGUUUUGCGUUUAAAACUGUUGUUUUCAUGUGUAUUUGAGCGAUUACCGAACACAAAUUGAAAUUAAAAAUGCACCUAAUCUAACGGUCAAACAAAUCAAAAUAGAUCAGAACACUGAAUUCUAAACCAAAA